rnacentral:rRNA from 1 species
UACGUAGGGUGCGAGCGUUAAUCGGAAUUACUGGGCGUAAAGUGUGCGCAGGCGGUUUGUUAAGACAGAUGUGAAAUCCCCGGGCUUAACCUGGGAACUGCAUUUGUGACUGGCAAGCUAGAGUAUGGCAGAGGGGGGUAGAAUUCCACGUGUAGCAGUGAAAUGCGUAGAGAUGUGGAGGAAUACCGAUGGCGAAGGCAGCCCCCUGGGCCUGCACUGACGCUCAUGGCACGAAAGCGUGGGGAGCAAACGGAUGAUA